GUCAAAGUGAGGAACUGACUCAAGGGACAGAGGACUUUCCGAAGCUUAGUUGGACCAUACUCCAGCUCAAAAAUUACAUUUGCCAAAAAUACACAAAAGUAAACUUACACCUCAUUGGCUUUGACAUGGCUCGUGCUGACAAAUCCAGACAUCUUCAUAAAAUGACAGGAAACACGGUAGCAGAUUUUAAAAAAGAUCUUGGACGGAGUAGACUUUAUGUCAUUCCUCACUCAGACAUCCCCCUGCCAUCAACUGUAAGUUAACUUUUUUAGUUUUUUGGAAUGAACGGUUACUCACAAGUUAUUGUCAUAGUAAUAUGUUUGUUUUGUUCUAGAGUUUGCCUACAGCAACAUCUACAACUGGACCAACACCCAUGAAUGAAGAGCCUCCCCAGCACUCUGAAGCUGCGCUCACAAUACAAAAUGAUUCCAACAACUCUCUGGCAGAAACUUUGGAUCCAGAAGAAUGGCAAAAUGCAGGGACCCCAGAGGUGUACUACAGACGAAGACCUCUUGAUCCAACCAGCGAAGAAGUCAAUAGGUACUUCAUGGUAGUCCUAAAUAUAUUUAUAGUUCUAAACUAUGUUCGUAAAACAAUAUUUUUUAUGUCAUACUGAAAAGUAAUUGAAUUAUUUAUCAAAAUUUACAA
rnacentral:lncRNA from 1 species